AUACGGAGGAUCCGAGCGUUAUCCGGAUUUAUUGGGUUUAAAGGGUGCGCAGGCGGCCAUUUAAGUCAGCGGUUAAAUCGUGGGGCUCAACCCCAUUCUGCCGUUGAUACUGGGUGGCUUGAUUGCGGUCGAGGUUUGCGGAAUUCGUUGUGUAGCGGUGAAAUGCAUAGAUAUGACGAAGAACACCGAUUGCGUAGGCAGCUGACCAGACCGCAAAUGACGCUCAUGCACGAAAGUGCGGGGAUCGAACAGGAUUAGAUACCCUGGUAGUCCGCACAGUAAACGAUGAAUACUUGUUUUCGGCGAUAUAAUGUCGGAGGCAAAGCGAAAGCGAUAAGUAUUCCACCUGGGGAGUACGCCGGCAACGGUGAAACUCAAAGGAAUUGACGGGG
rnacentral:rRNA from 1 species